rnacentral:lncRNA from 1 species
GUUUGGACUUAUCAUUUGAAUUGUGAUUUCAGGUUCAAGAAUACAUCUCCAUGAGUGAUGAUGCUCCUUCAUUUGAGCUUAACCAUUUGUUGUUGUUGGCUAACAAUUGUGUGUUUUGUAGGCCUUAAUGGGGGAUUCACUUGUGUUCAUGGAUCGCUCAUUGUUGUCUGAUUGGAUUUGUCUGUUUGUGUGAUAUUGACUGUUGAUUGUUUGUUUGAAUUGUGUACUGACUGGUUAGCUAUUUACACAGGUACUUUAGUUGCUCAGUUCCUUGUGA